GUGUGCCCGGCAUGGGUGCAGUCUAUAGGGUGAGAGUCCCGAACUGUGAAGGCAGAAGUAACAGUUAGCCUAACGCAAGGGUGUCCGUGGCGACAUGGAAUCUGAAGGAAGCGGACGGCAAACCUUCGGUCUGAGGAACACGAACUUCAUAUGAGGCUAGGUAUCAAUGGAUGAGUUUGCAUAACAAAACAAAGUCCUUUCUGCCAAAGUUGGUACAGAGUAAAUGAAGCAGAUUGAUGAAGGGAAAGACUGCAUUCUUACCCGGGGAGGUCUGGAAACAGAAGUCAGCAGAAGUCAUAGUACCCUGUUCGCAGGGGAAGGACGGAACAAGUAUGGCGUUCGCGCCUAAGCUUGAACCGCCGUAUACCGAACGGUACGUACGGUGGUGUGAGAGGAGUUCGCUCUACUCUAU
rnacentral:misc_RNA from 1 species